rnacentral:lncRNA from 1 species
AGGGGAAUGGGUAAGAGACAGAAGUAGAGAUAAGGAGACGGAAGCUAGUACGAGAGGAGUAGGAGUAGCGAGUAUAUCAAAUUGAUUAUUAGAAACCGUUUCCAGUUGUUGUUCCCCUCCCAAGGGCAGGUUCUUACGCGUUACUCACCCGUCCGCCACUGGAAACACCACUUCCCGUCCGACUUGCAUGUGUUAAGCAUAUAGCUAGCGUUCCUUCUGAGCCAGGAUGGCUCUUUCUCGUUUAUAGUAAAGUCCACUCUUAGAGAAAACUCUUUUUUUGUCUUUCUCUACGAGAGGCCGAUGAAUAUUGAGAUACGCAAUUCUUGUGAAUGGAAAGCGCAUACAUCGAGUGAAGACUCAAGAAUAGGAAAUGUGAGUCCCACCAACUAAAUAAAGGAUUACUAGACGCAAUCACCAGAACCAGAUUAGAUUCGAAUGAUUCAUCCGAGCUAGGUCCCAAUGGCUUUGACUCGAUUAACAGGAGCUCUACUUUCGGUCUAUCUCUUUCCGGAAUAGGUGUACUAGAGUAUGAGACUCCUCAACCUUUCGUCACGAUCCAGUUGAGAUAUAGAUAUAAGAAAGAGAAAAAAGAAAAAGGGGUUCGAAACCAUGCCCCUGAUCUACAUAGCCGAAUCCAAAGAGGCAACUCUACUAUAGUGACUCCACCAUAGUGACUCGGGUAAACUGUCAAGUGAACGAGAGUCUGAGAGCAGGUGACCAAAACCUAAACCCCAACCAGUUUAGGAAAAACACUAAGCAUACAGGUAGAAAAAGUGCUCGAGCAGAGACAAAGCUAGAUCAUUUUCCGAGUAUACAGACCAAAAAGGCUAAAGUGGAGGACGGUGGAGCUAAGUUAACAAACAGCUUAUUGACCGCGCAUCCAUCCCUUGACUAGCCUGACAAAGGAGCCUACUUUAGCGGAGUUCUCCUAUAGUGGUGGCUGCUCUCCCCCAAGAGAAGAGAUUUUUGGGAAAGAAAAGGCCCUCAAGAAGCAUCGGUAAGCCUAUCAAUUAGAAGUAGAGCUGGGCAGGCAAACUCAUAGCCGAGGAGGUCAUACUUGGAAAGUCAAAUAGAGGAGUUGAGCGUGCCUCUAUGAGUGUCAAAGUUGAGAUGCGCAGGCGUGCAAGAUACGUUAGCUGUGUAGCGUAGGUAGGAGCGAGACAUAUAGGAAGGUUUUGCAAGGUAAGGGACAUAUAACAUAUAGGAAGCCGACGGUUGGUUUUGAUUCUACUCUACAAACGAAUUUCUUUGUAGUUUUUCUCUCGUUGACAACGAAAGAAAAUUCUCUUUCUUUUUCAUUCCUUUCCUCCUUAGCGAGACAAGAGAAUUUCUUGUUUUUCGCUAGUGGGAUGGGAAAAAAAUGAUCUUGUUCAUGCCGCCAAGGCAAAAAAAGUCUCAAUGCCAUCUGAUGGGCAAAAGCCAUUCCGUUUGUUUCGAAAAUCGUCGAACUCGAACAUUGCCUCGAUCACUAAAAGAUCUUUUUUUUUUUACAAUGACAGGACGCAGAUUAGACUCGUCGGGUAGUUUUCCAUAAGGUUUCUUUUUUGAAAGAAAGAUUCUUUUCAUUGGUUGAAACAAAAAAAAAGUAGAGUUAGCUAAAUCUUCCUAAAGAAGAUUGAAAUCAGCGUCCGACAACACGAUUCUAUCUUUCUCCAAAGAGCUAUCGUCCCAAUAUCGCCACGUUUAACUGUCGUAUUAAAAUUGUGAUAAGAAUCAUUCUCAUUUGUCGUUUUUGUCCAACUCAGAGAGGGGCCAAAAGCGGGGCUCUUUCUUUGAAAAGGGACCGAGCUUUUCUUUUGUCUUCCUUUGAUUUGGAAGAAGGUCUUGGUGAGAAAGAGCAGAAUGUGAGAGCUCCCUUUGUGCUAAUUGCGGAAAAGGCGCGUCUCCGGUUCAACUGCCCUUUGCCUGUUAUACCAAAAAAGCGCAUAGGUUCAUUCCGUGUGUGGAUCGAGCUCCGGUCUAGUUGACGUUUCCUGUGAUCGAGACUGUGGUCUACGUGUGUGGUACGUUGGCUAUCGUGGUUCGGUUAGGGUGGCCAGUGCUCUUUCUGAACAUAAAAAGUCAAUUGCCGUCAUGCGGUCGGUGCGGCCUAAAGAGCAUCAACCCACCUUGCGCGUGACUUGCUUGCGUUUCACCAGUAACUCCGCGGAAACGUUCGGUCCUCUGCGCCAUCACUGAUUGCGUCCGCACUUUUAAAGAUAACGCUUCGCCUUAAUUAAAAAAAGUCAAAGCGCUUGGCAUUGGCUUGCGUAUAGCUCCAUCCUACUAACCGGAAAUCAGGAUUGACUUCUGUUUCUAAGUAUACCCAUUCCUGGGGCCCUGGGAGGGUGGUCGGAUCACUAGACAACUUUUCGUACAGUUGCAUCAGUAGCUAUUUCAUUCGUUAUAGGUAAUUUCGUUCGCCUUUGUGGGCUUUGAAGCGUCAUAGAGCUUUCCGCUUCGGGUAAAGGUCCACUUUGUCCCCCAAUAGGGGUGUUCUGGCCCAUGAUCAGUUCGGUUGCGUAGUGUUAGCUCAGGUGUUGUCUACCCUGGUCGGAGCUGGAAUUAGAACUUUGUUUAAAUGGGUCCAGUCCUUUCGGGUCCGACGUUUCUCUGAAAUUCUGCCUUUGGUUAGCAGGAAAGGCUCACCUGGCUUGAUCAUGCUUGCUUGGUCGACCUCUCCUGAUUUAUCUGUCAGUAAUGGAAGCAUCCAUGGGUUGUGUCCUUGGUCAGCACGAUGGAGGAGUGAGCCUAGUGCUUCGUUUGAUGGAAGCACGAGGGAACGGGUUUCAUCGGCAGGCUUUUUUUGGGGCGCUUCCGUUACAACGACUUCACUCUGAGGCCUCUCACCUACCCCAUGAUUCUCCCUGGACGCUUCAUCGUGAUUAUUGCCCGGUGAGUGCGAAGUCAAAGUGGGAAAAAAAAGAUUCGCUCUAGCCCAUUCUAACAGGGCUUGGGGUGGAAUAGACCGACUUGAUGUAAUGGAUGGCACUUGAUUAAUUAAUAGGGCACGAGAGGAUACUACCUUUAUUCAUUCAUUUAUUCACCUCCGCCCCUACCCCCGUUGGGGGGUCCUGAUCUCGAUCAAAUGCAACUGACUAUUCUUUUUCGGUUUGAGGCGAUCGGUAAUUAUUUUGAUGAUGGGAGUGGGUCGGCCAUGGAAAGCAUUCUGGUUUCUUCUUCAGUGAGGCAUUAACGAAUCUCACAUUGAUUGAAGUGUUUGAUCUUCCCCGGUCAGUCAAAAGAAGAGGAGUAAGUUGAUCGGGGAGAGGCAGGUGGUAGAGGCGCUGAACUACAUUACAUGGAUGGCGGGAGGAAACAAAUGUCUGAAGCGGGUCGGUUUCUCGGUUCCUCAUCUGCUUAUUCGUGAAUCAGAAGGUUGGUUCAGAUGCGGGUCAGAAGAGGAGAUUUAUUUCCAAGGAGGAUAGGGAAUUGGGGAAGGCUUCAAAGGCUGGUCUACUUACUGCUCGAUGAGGGUAAUCAGGUCGGGUCAGAAGGUGGUCCGAUUCCUCUUCAUUGGUUUCAAAUCCAGCCAAUGAACAUUUGGUUGCAGGGGAGGAUAGGUAAACAUCUUUCUCUCUGAAGGCGAUAGGUUUCAUUCCAUCUUGAGUCUUCCAUCCCUCCGGAGUCAACUACUGUAUGGAAGGAUCCUCCGUCCUGAGUGGCAUUAGAACCCACCCAAUAGUAGGAGGAGGAGGAGCCUUUGGUUCGUGCACUUUACUCGAGCUUAAUAAUCUGCCUUUACCGGACGGACGGGAUUUCUCGGCGCCAUGAAAAAAUUAUGAUAGGGCUCGAUGACUACGUCUUGUGGAUGCUACCUACAAGGGAAGAGAAUCCACGCUUCCGCCAGUGAGUUCUUUUCUGCGGGAUUCCUUUCUGUUGCUCUGUAUCCUAUGGAGAUGGAUUGAUAUGGAGGGUUGGUUUCCACUUCUUACCUAUUCACUUCUACUUGAACCGUUCAACGAGCGUUGUCACGAUCCAAAGGAAGAUCUCCUGGCUCAGCACUACUCAACUUGUGGAGUGCCACAUACCCUGCUGACAACAACUGCAGCAGUCACAAGUCUGGUCCCCUACCUCACAAAGUCGCUUGAUGGCCGAAGCACUCCCAAGGCGAAUAGUGCCCUAGGGGCCGACCCGACACCGACCGGCGGAUACUCCCGCGCAGCAAACUCCGCAAGUCGGUAUUCGUCUACGAGAGGCGCACUCCUAUGCCUUUCGAGGCUUCUCAGUGUAAGAAAGCCUCACCUCUUUCUGUUACUGAACACACACUUUUGAUCCACUAGAACAUGUAGAUCUACUAGACGACAAACAAAGAAGUUGGUAGCAACAGAACUGCCUCUAAACCACUAGAGCACCUACAAAAAUCAGUCUACCUACGCUACAUUGUACCUUCUAUUAAUUAAGAUUGCCGUUUUAGGCCAUCUUAAUGAAAGCCUGGGAAUUGUGUGUGCACCAUUAACCUAUGCCUCUCGAUUUAGCGAGAGGGCCUGCGAGCGGCCUUGGUAGCAAGGCCAACCCUGGACCUGCUCAGAUGAGCCUCCAGGAGCGAAGGCAGGCCGCUGAGGCCGCCCACAGAAGGGUUCUGGCCUACAUGGCCGAACAAGACGGAAUAACAGACAGCCAGCUGCAACAAGACCUGCAUUUCCAUGAGGUAUGCUCACUGAUUGAAGAGCUCGCGCUUUCUUCCCGACGAAGACAUCUUUCUCUGAUCCUUGAAUGCUUCCUCGUUGCUUUGCCUUUCGAAGGAUUCCCUUCAGCUUCCGCAAUGAUAUUGUACCCUUUUUUCAAGGAAAUCCCAAUGCUUCUCUUAUUCAGUAGUUCAAUCCGCCUUUGUUACCCCGGAUCCCGCUCUUAAUGAGCCGAAGAGAAGUGCAUGAAAUGGUGGCCAUUGGCCAACAAGUUGCGUAGACUUCAGACCCACUUUGCUUUCACGAUUUGACCUUGACAUUCCAUCAAUGAAUUCAUCUUCCGCUUUGCACCGACCCCAUUCCUCAAGUCCGUGGUCUUCGAUCAUAAACUAUCUCUCCCUCUCGAGACAGUCAGGUUAUUUAUUCCUAAAAUCCAGGUUAGUCAAACUCCAGCUAAAGCGGAAAAGAGUGAAAAGAGGAAAAAACGAGCCUGUCAAUCCUAAGAGUGUGCGUCGAAGCACAAGCUGAGUUUCAAAAUUUGGACUUCUAAGAUGCAAAUCAAACUCAUGUUCCGACAGUCAAAUUUUCUCUUUAGCUUGGACAGUUGGGUAAGCCGAUUGUAUUGUCUUCUUUUCUUCUUUGCCAGUGCAAUCGAUUUAAGAAGCUUGAAAGCCGGUCUCCUGUGUUGUUUCCCAACUAGAAAACAUGUUUGAAACCCUAUACCUUAAAGGGAGGGGGGUCAAAAGGAAAGGGAUAUCACUUCAACUGCUUUUGCUUCCAAGCCGGAGAAGAGAGAUCGAAAGAGCUACCUGAGGCUUGGUUCAACCACUUGACUAGAUAGGAAGAACGACAGAAGCAAGCAGCCUAAAGGGAGAGGGUGAUGUCUCCAUAGGUAGCAAGAAGCGAAUGUCAGUCAAGCGGGCAGGCCUUUGUAUCUAAGGGGGCUUGAAGAGAGAAAGGGUGGAACAGUGCAUACUCCGCCUAACCGGGAAAUCACUCUAAGGUAUUUUAGGCUAAACCAAAUUCCAUCAUGCAAAGCUUAAUAGAAAGAAUUUUUUUUUCUGACUCAAGACAAAAAUGAAACACGGGACUGAAAAAGCAAGGUUGGUUACAUACUCGGGAGGGGCCAUCAACCUGCAAUCGAGAGUGGUUCAGUGAAAUAGACUAUUGUACUGACACAGAGUUGAUCAUACUUUUAGAUGAGAGCUCACACCAGAUUGAAGGGUGUGGAGUUGCCAAGAUGAAUAUGGAAGACGGCACACUGAAAAAGAAGAAUGAUAUGCUGCUAGUACAAAGGAGGAAGAACCUGCUCUCUGUAUCUUCGCAAAAGACGGAUACAAGAUAGAUCUGGAAGAAAUAGUUUCGUGAAGGAUAAUAAGAACGGUUUCAGAAUCGUGGCCAAAGGGCACGAAGAGCUUAGUACCAGUUUCAUGGAGGAUCUUAGAGAGCCUUAGCGGCUGUAUCAGAUACCACACGAGUAUGGCAUGGAAGGUAUAGGUAUGGUCAUCUGAACUUCCAAAGCCUACUGGAACUGAGAAGCAGACGCAUGGUAAUUGGUCUGCCGUUUAUGCCUUGGUUUGGUGUUGUUUGCGAAGCAUGCGCUGUAGGAAAACAGCAUGCAGAGCCCUUUCCCAAGCAGGCAAGAUUGCCAACACACCGGAAGGAGCUGGUCCAUACUGACGCGGACCUAUGAGCGAGGAAGAACUUUGAGGUGCAAGGUAUUUUCUGACUUUCACGGAUGACUUUACUUUUAUACAUAUAAGUAGUCUCGACUUUUUUUUCUGGAAGUUGAAAUCUCGAAAGUUGCCCUAUGUUAGUUGUUCAAAGAAAUGGUUGAGAAGGAAACGGGUUUGCUAUAUUUUUUGUUAAAGAUCUGACAAUGGAGGUGAGUUCUGUUCUAGAGACAGGACUUUCAAAAACAAAAUGGAAUCCGGCCCUUUACACUCCAAAGCUGAAUGGAGUCGCAGAGCGGAAGAACAAAACAAUCGUUGAUAUGGCCAAGUUUAUGUUAAAAGGGCAUGAUGACAGAAAAGAGCAUCUCUAAAUCUUACUGGGGACUGUGGCCUCACGGCAGUCAAUAUUAUUCAUCGGUGUCUGCUGUUGAAUGGCAUAACACCAAAAGAAGCAUGGACAGGCAGAAAGCCUGUGAUUUCACAUCUGAGGACAUUCGGCUGCAAAGCUUAUGUCCGACGUUCCGAAGGAGAAGAGGACCGGAUGACAAAGGUAAGUAAGAAAAUGACCUUAUUAAGUGUGAAGAUUCUAAGGCUUAUCAAUUUUAUACACCUGAAUAAUUGCAGUGUUUGGUUUCAAGAAAUGCAAUACUUAUAGAAUUUUAAUUGAAAAGCCAUCUCUCUUUCUUUACUGACAAGCAAGCCUGAUUGAUGAAGAAGAGGAGAUUGUUGAGCUGUUAAGUACAAGUACGCGUCAUAAGCUUUCAAUUGCAGCCGCUUACUUUAUGAGCUAUUAGGUGCUGCCGCACUACGGAUAUCGUGGCGUGUCCACGCUAUUCUCCCGGCGUUCCAUGUUGCCGCUCAGACCUCCGCUUGUUGGUUUGGUGGUUGUGUGGUAUUUAAUAGAAUUCAACAUGUUGCCGUGCCUCUGUAGCUUUUGUCUUCGCCCUUCGACUUCCGGCUUCGGCUUUUAGACUAAAGUGAUUAAAACAUGCCUUGCCUUCCGCCGCUUUCGGAUAAGACUAAGUAACCUUACCAAAAACCUGACACGCUACGGCCUGACUUUGAAGCCGCAAGCUUACACGUGUAACUCCAAUUAAUCACCAAAGGAUGCUUUCAUAUUGACGUGGUUGUACAGGAAGAGCCCCAAGCCCUACAGACAGGAAGGAGAGGGAGAGGAAAGUAACAGGAAGUCUAAGUCUGAGAGCCCCCCUAAGCCCCAAAGAAAGGGGGAACUCCUAAAAGACACAAAAGAUGUCCGGUUGUUGGUAUCUAUUUUCUGACUUCCAUGUUGCCGUGCUACGAGUCAUUUUAGAUAAAAGGAGCUGUACUGAAAAAGCCCGAAGUGUUAAUGAAAGCCGCACCAUCAACCAAGGCAAAAGCCAGACCUUAAGAAAAUGAAAGCCGGAAAGCCUAUGAAUCUAAAGUGGCAGAAGCUACAGAGGCUAAACAACCCUUGCCCAACUAGAGCGGAACUAUCGCCGGUGCUUAUGAACAUAUUUUUGCAUUCAUUUGAUCUUAUCUAUUGUUGUGAAAGGAGUCUUAAAAAGUGUUCAGUGCAGUGACUCAAAGGAAACCCCAACAAAAAAAUCAUUUCUUUCAAUACUCACUUGUUACGUUAUUGUCAUCUUAUUAGUUAACAAUCCUAAUGAUUGGAUUCAUAUGUUUAAUUCCUGAUAGGAAAUAAAAUAGUAAAAUGAUUAUUCAUGGAAUGACUAUUCAUCUAUUGUAUUUUCAUCAAAUAGGGGGCAAGAAGACUCUAUGGAAAAAUGGUGGUUCAAUUCGAUGUUGUCUAACGAUAAGUUAGAGCAUAGGUGUGGACUAAAUAAAUCAAUGGAUAGUCUUGAUGCUAUUGGGCAUACCAGUGGAAGUGAAGAACCCAUUCUAAAUGGUACGGAGAAAAACAUUCCUAGUCGGAGUGAUAGUGGCAGUUAUAGUUUCAGAAAUGUUGAUUAUUUAUUUGAUAUCAGGGAUAUUUGGAGUUUGAUCUCUGAUGACACUUUUUUAGUUAGGGAUAGUAAUGGUGACAGUUUUUCCGUAUGUUUUGAUAUUGAAAAUCAGAUUUUUGAGAUUGACAAUGAUAGUUCUUUUCUGAGUGAACUAGAAAGUUUUUUUUCUAGUUAUUUAAAUAGUGGGUCUAAGAGAAACAAUCACUACUAUUAUCAUUACAUAUAUGAUACUCAAUCUAGUUGGAAUAAUCACAUUAAUAGUUGCAUUGAUAAUUAUCUUCGUUUUGAAGUCAGUAUUAAUAGUUCCAUUUCGGGCGGUACCGACAAUUACAGUGACAGUUACAUUUAUAGUUUCAUUUGUACUGAAAAUGUAACUGGUAGUGAAAGUGGGAGUUCUGGUAUAAGAACUAGUAAAAAUGGCAGUGAUUUCAAUAUAAGAAGAAGAUCUAAUGAUUUCGGUAGAAAUAAAAAAUACAGACAUUUAUGGGUUCAAUGCGAAAAUUGUUAUGGAUUAAAUUAUAAAAAAUUUUUUAGGUCAAAAAUGAAUAUUUGUGAACAGUGUGGAUAUCAUUUGAAAAUGAGCAGUUCAGAUAGAAUCGAACUUUCGAUUGAUCCGGGGACUUGGGAUCCUAUGGAUGAAGAUAUGGUCUCUAUGGACCCCAUUGAAUUUCAUUCAGAGGGGGAACCCUAUAGAGAUCGUAUCGAUUCUUAUCAAAGAAAGAUAGGUUUAACUGAAGCUGUUCAAACAGGCAUAGGUCAACUAAAUGGUAUUCCCAUAGCAAUUGGGGUUAUGGAUUUUAAGUUCAUGGGAGGUAGUAUGGGAUCCGUAGUAGGCGAGAAAAUCACCCGUUUGAUCGAGUAUGCUACUAAUCGAUCUUUACCUGUCAUUAUUGUGUGUGCUUCUGGAGGAGCGCGCAUGCAAGAAGGAAGUUUGAGUUUGAUGCAAAUGGCUAAAAUAUCUUCCGCUUCAUAUAAUUAUCAAUCAAAUAAAAAUUUAUUCUAUGUAUCAAUCCUUACAUCUCCUACAACCGGUGGAGUAACAGCCAGUUUUGGUAUGUUGGGAGAUGUCAUUGUUGCUGAACCUAAUGCCUACAUUGCAUUUGCGGGUAAAAGAGUAAUUGAACAAACAUUGAAAAAGACAGUACCCGAUGGUUCACAAGCGUCUGAGUAUUUAUUCCAUAAAGGCUUAUUUGACCCAAUUGUACCACGUAAUCCUUUAAAAGGUGUUCUGAGUGAGUUAUUUCAGCUCCACGGUUUCUUUCCCUUGAAUCAAAAUUCAAAAAAUUAAUAAAGUAUAGCACUAAAUUCAGUUAUUUGUAGCGAACAAGUAUUUAGUUCAUCGUAAUCAAAAAAAAACUAAAAAGAAUGGUGUUUUCUUUGAUGACAUAAGUUCUACUUGUAAUAAGAAUUAGAAGUUUCGGGUAAUUACUUUUUAUUUUUUCCUCCAGAUCUAUUUUUUUAUCCUACCUCUAUUCAUGAUUAGUAAUCACAAACCUUCUAUCAACAGGAUAAAAAAGUGAAUUUUUCCCUCCGAAGAAUUAGAAUUAGGGAAAAUAAAAAAUUACUCUGGCCUUCUUACGUAUUAAUAUAGACAAUAAAAAAAAAUAUCGAAAUCAAAAUAAAAAGAAAUAAAUAUAAAAUAGAGAAUAGAAGUUAUUUCUAUAUCUAUCGAUAACCCCCAUUUUUUUAUUUUACUAUGAAUCCCCGUUUGUUGGAUGGAUCGAAUUAGUUAGAGUCGCAAACUCCUAAAAAAAUCUUUUAUUUUCAUAAUAAACUCCUUAUUAGAUUAGAAAGAUAGAAAGAAAUAAGGAUGGGAUAAUAAUAUGAAAAUAAAUUAAUAAAGCGAAUUAUCAUACAUAUUCGUGUAGAAAGAUGAAUAGGUACACUUAUUUUAUUUAGUUCUACAUUCCUUGCACUUAUUAAUUUAUUAUUAACUACUUAUAAAUAUUAAUUUCUAAAUAUUAAUAAUAAAUAAUAUUAAAUAAUAUAAUAUAUUUUUUUAAGUUUAUGAUAUAUACUUAGGAUAGAUAUACUUAUCAUAUCAUAAGAUAUCUUUCUCUUUCUAAUAGAUAGAAAUAUUAAAUCGAGGCACCCAUUCUAUGACAGAUCUCAACUUACCCUCUAUUUUUGUGCCUUUAGUGGGCCUAGUAUUUCCGGCAAUUGCAAUGGCUUCUUUAUCUCUUUAUGUCCAAAAAAAUAAGAUUGUCUAGAUCCGAUGGGACCAAAUCUCAUCAAUUUAUUUCAACACUGGAUCAUAAUACAGAUAUUUAUUUAGUGUAAUAUGGUACGAUAUGUGACUCUUUACGAACACAAAUGAAAGAGCUGUUAUGCAUGCGGAUACAUGAUAUCCGCAUAAAUGCAUGUAUAUGCAGGUAUAGCUGGUUAAAUUAAAAACGGAUCGGCGAAUAUUUUAUUUAAAUGGAAAGUCAAUGUAUCUAACAAAUUACUUCUAACGGUUUACAUCAGAAUAGUGCUAGUUAAUGAAAGUUACUUCGGGAUCAAGAAAGUAAAAUUCAUUUUGGUUAUUCUCUCAAUUCCAAUCGAAUGCAACUGGAUCUAGUAGAGUAUGAAUUGGCGAUCAGAACAUAUAUGGAUAGAACCUAUAAUGGGGUCUCGAAAAACAAGUAAUUUUUUCUGGGCCUGUAUCCUUUUUUUAGGUUCACUAGGAUUCUUAGUGGUUGGAACUUCCAGUUAUCUUGGUAGGAAUCUGAUAUCCGUAUUUCCAUCUCAGCAAAUUAUUUUUUUUCCACAAGGGAUCGUGAUGUCUUUCUAUGGGAUCGCAGGUCUAUUCAUUAGCUCCUAUUUGUGGUGCACAAUUUCAUGGAAUGUAGGUAGUGGUUAUGACCGAUUCGAUAGAAAGGAAGGAAUAGUGUGUAUUUUUCGUUGGGGAUUUCCUGGAAUAAAUCGUCGCAUCUUCCUUCGCUUAUUUAUGAGAGAUAUCCAAUCCAUCAGAAUGGAGGUUAAAGAGGGUCUUUAUCCUCGUCGUGUCCUUUAUAUGGAAAUUAGAGGCCAAGGAGCCAUUCCCUUGACUCGUACUGAUGAGUAUUUUACUCCACGAGAAAUUGAACAAAAAGCUGCCGAAUUGGCCUAUUUCUUGCGCGUACCAAUUGAAGUAUUUUGAAAUGAACUGAAGAAAAAAUUGAAAAAAAACUUGCUAAUUUCCUUUUUAAUACAACCGUCGACUCUAUCUGAUAUUUCUCUGAAGUACGAGUUCUAUAAAAAGGUAUUGAACCCAUGGAUCUAUUUCCUAUUUUUGUCUAAUAAUUUAGAUCUCGGAUCUAUAAGGAAAGGAAUAUAGAAAUAGAAUAAGGGUCCUUUUAGGAUAAAAAUGAAAAAAAAAGAAAGCCCGGGUCUCCCUCCCAUAUAUUUCAUCCAACAUAUUUUUGCCCUGGUGGGUCUCUCUCUCAUUUAAUAAAUGUCUGGAACCUUGGGUUACUAAUUGGUGGAAUACCGGGAAAUCCGAAACUUUUUUGAAUGAUAUUCAAGAGAAAAAUGUUCUAGAAAGAUUCAUAGAAUUGGAAGAACUAUUCCUCUUGGAUGAAAUGAUAAAGGAGUACCCGGAGACGCAUAUACAAAAACUUCGUAUAGGAAUACACAAGGAAACGAUACAAUUGGUCAAAACACACAAUGAAUAUCAUCUCCAUAUCAUUUUUGAUUUCUCGACAAAUAUAAUUUGUUUCGCUAUUCUAAGUGGUUAUUUUAUUCUGGGUAAUGAAGAACUUGUCAUUCUUCAUUCUUGGAUUCAGGAAUUCCUCUAUAACUUAAGUGACACAAUAAAAGCUUUUUUUAUUCUUUUAGUUACUUAUUUAUGGAUCGGAUUUCAUUCGACCCAUGGUUGGGAACUCAUGAUUGGUUCGGUCUACAACGAUUUUGGAUUGGUUCAUAACGAUCAAAUUAUAUCUAGUCUUGUUUCCACUUUUCCAGUUAUUCUAGAUACAAUUGUGAAAUAUUGGAUCUUCUAUUAUUUAAAUCGUGUAUCUCCUUCACUUGUAGUCAUUUAUCAUUCAAUGAAUGAAUGAAGAACUCAUUUGAUCUCCUGAUAUUAAUCAAAUCAGAAUCUUUCUUCGUAUAUAAAGAAAACAUUUUCAAUCUUACUUAAUUCUUUAUACUUCUAGUUCUUCAAGGUAUUCGUCCUAUAUUCCAGUACAAUUAUCCCAGUACAAUGACAGACUCGUGUAUAGGGAACUAUACUAGCUACCUAUCUAAUUUAUUGUAGAAAUUCCGGGAUCAAUGAUUGGACAUGCAAAAUAGAAAUACUUUUUCUUGGGUAAAGG